rnacentral:lncRNA from 1 species
AUAAAAGUAACCAGGUCUCCUCAGAAAUCCAUUUUCCUUUUCUACUCAGGUUCUGACUAUGUGACAACUGGAAACUUGUCCCAGCAGCAGGACCCUGAGGAAGAAGAGGUCUCCCUGCUCACAGUCACAGCACUAGAGCAUCUCACCAGCCUAGCAAAACUCUAG